rnacentral:rRNA from 2 species
AAAUUGAAGAGUUUGAUCAUGGCUCAGAUUGAACGCUGGCGGCAGGCCUAACACAUGCAAGUCGAACGGUAACAGGAAACAGCUUGCUGUUUCGCUGACGAGUGGCGGACGGGUGAGUAAUGUCUGGGAAACUGCCUGAUGGAGGGGGAUAACUACUGGAAACGGUAGCUAAUACCGCAUAACGUCGCAAGACCAAAGAGGGGGACCUUCGGGCCUCUUGCCAUCGGAUGUGC